rnacentral:misc_RNA from 1 species
AAAAAAAAAAAAAAAAGAAGCUAAUGCUGCAUCAAUUAUAAUAAGAAGGCUCAUAACAUCUCUCUAGACAAUAGAUUAUAAACCUUUAAAUGAAUUUAUUGGCAACAUGAAGGCAAGUAAUGAUAGAAAUGAACAAUUUGAGGUGUCUUUUAUACUUGUUACUUAUUAGAGAAGAAAAACAUUGAGGGGAAGACUAAGAACUCACUUAAAUAAGAUUUGACAAAAUUCCUUAUUGUUUCCAAACUUUCCAUUCCAAGGGCCUUAAUAGGUGCAUGUGGCAUUGACAACUAAAUCUUAAACAAUCAUCUAGUGGAAAAGAUAAAUCGAAUGCAGAUUAAACCAACACUGGAACUCAAAAAUAGAAAGUCAAAAAGGUCUAUUUAGAGAAUCCCCUCAUGCGAUUGACUAAUUCAUGAUAUUACACCAUAGUUUGAAUUAACUGAUGCAUCUGAAACAUUGGAGGACAUGUACUAUUAUUAAAUAGUGAGUGGGUAGGAAGGUUUAUGCGUAUGCUGGGGAGGGCGGGGCUCAUAUGAAUGUAAAACAAGAAGCAACCAUCUCGAAUGCCAAAUAUUAGCUUGUAGCAGCAUUAAUAGCACAAGCACAAAGCAGGAAACACAAUUUUCUAAUAAAUAAAGACAAAUAUAUUCCAGCACACCACCAAAAAAGUUCUACAACCUUUCCAAAAAAGUACUGAUUUAGAGUCUAAACUAACUUCUAUAAAAUUCAAGUAGCAUCCAUCACAAAUCCAACCACAACUUAUUGGAAGCAGAUGAAGUGAAGCAGCAACAAAAGCACAGCAGUCCACAUAAUUAAACCAAAGAUUUCAUUGUCUGCAUUCACCAAAUCACGACAACCAUUUAAAGCAUUUGUGCCCAGGAAGCUCUCAUACACCAGAACCAAACACCUCAAUAAUAUGGUGGCAUGCCCUGAUACAUCCCUCCAGGUGGAACUCUAGGGGGCAAUGGUGAUGGCUGGUGUUGCUGAGACAGCCCAUAAGGGACACCAUCUGGAUAUCCCCCAGAAGCCAUUCCAACCGAACUUGGAGGCAUCCUAUACAUAGAAUUCCCAGCGCUGUUCAAUCCGCCAAACUCACCAGAACUUGGUCCCCCAAACUGUGAAACACCAUAGGGACCACCAUAGCCUCCACUACCAAUUGAACCUGGCAAUGAAGAAUUCAAACCAUAUCCACUACUACCCAAUCCAGAAAACCCUCCAUAGGUUGGCAAACUACCUGGAACACCAUACUGGGAACCAGGCAUUGAAGACUGUGGUUGUGGUGGUGGCUGUGGUUGUGCAUUAUCACCAACCACACCACCUUCCGUCUUAGCUUUUUUGUUAUCAACCGCCAUUUUGCAGAGAACCUGAUGGCCAUCAAUAAUCUUCAUAGGAUCAGCAAUGGCUGCCUUUGCACCCUCCUCAGUCUUGUAUAUAAUAAAAGCAAAACCCUUUGAUUUACCCGUCACCUUAUCAAACCCUAGAGGUCCCUCUUCAAUCUCUCCAUACGUCAAGAAAAACCCUAACAAUCUCUCUGAAGGUAUAUCAUACGGGACAUUCCCAACAUAAAUCUUCCUAGACCAAACAUCGCCACCACUAGAACCAGAAUUAGAUAGCCCGGCAGAGGCCAGCUGGGUAACAGUCAUCCUGCCGUCAAUUUUCUUGCUUGGUUCCUUCAACGCAAUUAAAGCACCGUCUACAUGUUUAAAUGUGAUGAACCCAAAUCCCUUGGAUUUUCCAGUGUUCUUAUCGAAGAUUACGACGGCCUCCUCGAGCUCGCCAUAAGAAGCAAAGAGAGAGCGGAUGGUCUCGGUGGUGGUGUUGGUGGAAAGGCCCCUGAUGAAGAGCUUGCGGAGGGAGAUGUCGCCGUCGGCUACGAUGCGGAUGGAGUCAAGGACGUCGGGGUGACGGACUGCAGCUGUUUGGAGGAUGUCGAGAAGCUGCUCCUUUGUGAAAGGGUCGAUUACCUUGCGGAUGUCUUGGGGGGUUAAGGCGGUUGAGGUGGCGGCGGUGGAGAGAGUAGGGAUUAUCGCGGUGCCAUUUUCGUCGGCUUUGCGCUUCUUUGUGAAGUCCAUAGUGGCAGAGACCAAGACAAGGAAGAUGGGUAAUGAAGUGGAAGAGGCUCAACAGCGAAUUUAUAGGCAGGAUUCCAGAUCAACCAAUUUGGGAACCCUGGUUACCGUCUUGUUUCGUCUCCAAACAGGCCGAAGAUUAGGAUUCACGAGAACCAACCUCAAUAA